rnacentral:rRNA from 1 species
AUGCAAACUUGUGAUCCAAAAGUGUCUAAGCCUGUCCAGUUUGUAAGGAACAAACAUCAUUCUUUGUAUCUACAUCAGCUACUGUUGAUCUUGGCCUUUGAGCCACCUCAACAUCUUAUAUGUGAUUUAUUUGUACCAUUCCUAAACCUACCUGUGAAAGCUAUUUGCAUGAUCAUCAAAUAUAUCGAAUUGUCUGUACAUGAUCAGAUCACAUCAUCACCAAACACCUGUGAAUGCUAUUUGCAUGAUCAUCAUAUCCAAUGGUCUGUACACGAUCAGAUUGCAUUUUUCUGGUUAUAG